UACGGGGGGGGCAAGCGUUGUUCGGAAUUACUGGGCGUAAAGGGUUUGUAGGUGGCCCGCUAAGUCGGACGUGAAAUCCCUCGGCUUAACCGGGGAACUGCGUCCGAUACUGGUUGGCUUGAGUUUGGGAGAGGGAUGCGGAAUUCCAGGUGUAGCGGUGAAAUGCGUAGAUAUCUGGAGGAACACCGGUGGCGAAGGCGGCAUCCUGGACCAAUACUGACGCUGAGGAGCGAAAGCCAGGGGAGCAAACGGG
rnacentral:rRNA from 1 species